ACGACCACAUCACGUUGAAACACCUUACUAUCACCGAAGUUAAGUAACUUCGAGUCUGGUCAGUACUUAGAUGGGUGACCGCUUGGGAACACCAGGUAUU